GGCACAAAGAAAUCAUUCGUGGCUAGGGGAAAAAGUUCUCACUGGUGGAGAUCAUAUCUCCCUGUUCACAAGUGACGGAAGCAGCAGUCUUAUGAUGGCUCAGGUGACAGCAACUACCCCAGGCCACAGGGGGCUGUCACCACACAGGAGAGAGGCCAGGAGGGCCUGUGUCUAGUCCUGCAACUAUCUGCAAGCUCUCAGAACACAAAGGAAGAAUAAAGAUUGGAUAGUAACAAAGGGUGGCUGGACCAGGUCUCUGAUGCCAGAAGGACCUGCCUCUAGCACUGGUCAUCUCUCACUUGGGAUAAAUCAGGUCUGAUGAAACUACACUCGAGGAGAUCGAGGGUUUGCGACCCAAGGUGUACCUGCUCCCACCUCCCUUUGCUCAGCGUCUCUCUGAAAUAAAACACAGCCUUGGAUGGAGAUCUUUUCACCCUGAGCACCAACUUCAGCGUCAGCGUCAGCCACCCAGAUGAAAGCCCUGAGCUUUGGGGUUAUCUAAGAAGCUGGCUGGGACUGCGGCCCAGGAGAAUCUUGGUGGCAUUUCACCCUCUGUGCCUGUGUUCAGAAUGUCCU